UGGGGAAUAUUGCACAAUGGGGGAAACCCGUGAUGCAGCGACGCCGCGUGAGCGAAGAAGUAUUUCGGUAUGUAAAGCUCUAUCAGCAGGGAAGAAAAAAAUGACGGUACCUGAGUAAGAAGCACCGGCUAAAUACGUGCC
rnacentral:rRNA from 1 species